CCUCUUUCCAGCUGAUGUUCUGAAAGACUUCCCUGCCAGUUGGAAUGCGUUAUGCAAAUAACUUCUGUUUUCAUUUAUUUUGCUGACCUAAGGCAGGAUGAAGACCUAGCUGGACUGGAAAUCAGGUUUCUGACUCCUCAUCCCAUUUAAAUCCCAUCUCAUCACCCAGCACCUUAACUGCAGGCAUGGGGGACCACAGGUUCUGUACCUGAUUUGCAAGUCGUGCAAGUCUCAGCAAUCUCAUGGAGCCUCGAAACACUCUACUGGAAUGAAGAAUCGGAAGCGUGGCCCCAUGGCAUCCCAGCUUUACUUCUGAGACCAAAGCGCUGAAGUUCAGUGUGGCGAGGGUGCCGGGAAAUGGGGCGCCAUCAUGGCCUCCUGGUGUGAGUUAAAAAUGGCCCAGGCUUCUUUGGGAGAACAGUUUGUCAUUGUCUAGACAAAAGUGUAGAAUUAUCUAACCCACUGACCCAGCAAUUCCACUUCUGAGUUACCCAACAGACAAUGCACAUGGCUACACUGGAUACUCGACAGGCACCCAGACCCAUUCAUCAACAGUGUUCAACAUGAGUCCUACCUAUUACAAACCGAUACUUUAAAAACGAAUUCUAUACUUCUUGUGAAUACAAAAUGCUAUUUCUUUCCAGAUUUUUUGGUACUAAUUCAUUCAAUGAAAGAUGCAUAUUUUCACAAUUCCUGUAA